CGCGACCCCAGGUCAGGCGGGGCUACCCGCUGAGUUUAAGCAUAUCAAUAAGCGGAGGAAAAGAA
rnacentral:rRNA from 3 species